UCAGAGGUCAAGACAUAAACGUUGACUGUAAUCUGCAGGUAAACAGUCCCCACCCUCUGCAAUGUCAUCAAGGUAAAUAUUGCCGCAUUGCUCAUUUGGGAUGGGCACACGCAUGGCUUUCCUCGAUUGACCAUUGGAGCAACAAUCAGCCCGGAGGAUCACUCGGGAGAGGAGAGUUGUGGGAGUGAUGGUGUGCAGGGUUUCCAUAGUGACACCAAGGUGAAAACUGCCCAUCAUGCCAAGAAUAAGAUCAGAAAGCGAGACAAGUGUUGAGCUCUCAGCAGACACAAUAGCAGAAUUUGGAUUCAUGCUGCGUGGC